GCAAAAUAAAUCUGAAAAGAAGUAUCCAUUAAAUCAUAACAAUAACAAGAAACUCAGAAACAUGAAAUGGAAAUACUACAUAGAACUAAAUAAGCAAAAAUAUAACAAAACAUCUAGGUGUUUGUUGCCCUAGUGUAAAUCUGCUGACUCGA